UCGUAGAUUCCAGGAGUUUCCAAUGUUC
rnacentral:piRNA from 1 species